CAAUAGCAACAGAAAGAGCUCAGCUCAGUUCUAACAGUGUGGAAGAAAAACUGUCGGCAGAGAGAGCUCUCUAUUCUCUUCUCUUCCCUUCUACUCUCUCUCUCUCUCUCCCUAACAGUUCCUCGUUUUCUCCGCCGGCCGGGAAUCUGACGACACCAAGAGAACCAGCUGAGACAAGAGGUGGGCGCUGACUGACAUCUGACUCAUACAUACAAAUGGAGGGUCGGCAACUACUUCUCAGCUUUUGGUUGGUGGUGGUGGUUGAGUGUUUGGUUGUCUCCGGCGGUCCUCUCAGCCGUGUAUCUGACCCACAUUGGUAUCCCGCCACCGCUACGUGGUAUGGAAGUCCCGACGGCGACGGCAGCGAUGGGGGGGCAUGUGGGUACGGGUCACUGGUUGAUGUGAAGCCACUGAGGGCCAGAGUAGGAGCGGUGAGUCCAGUCCUGUUCAAAGGAGGAGAGGGGUGUGGGGCCUGCUACAAAGUCAAGUGCUUGGACGACUCCAUUUGUUCCCGGAGGGCCGUCACCGUUAUCAUCACCGAUGAGUGUCCCGGCGGCUAUUGCUCCGCCGGCCGCACCCACUUUGACCUCAGUGGCGCCGCCUUCGGCCGCAUGGCUGUCGCUGGCGACAAUAACGAACUACGUAAUCGAGGCGAGAUCUCCGUCAUUUACCGCCGGACACCGUGUAAAUAUCCGGGGAAAAAUAUAGCAUUCCAUGUAAAUGAAGGAUCCACAGAUUACUGGCUUUCUCUUCUAGUGGAAUUCGAGGAUGGAGAUGGUGAUGUUGGAUCAAUGCAUAUUAGAGAGGCAAGUUCCAUAGAAUGGGUAGAGAUGAAGCAUAUAUGGGGAGCAACUUGGUGCAUUGUUGGGGGACCCUUAAAAGGACCAUUUUCAGUGAAGCUCACCACACUUUCAACAGCAAGAACUCUUUCUGCAAGAGAUGUUAUUCCAAGCAAUUGGUCUCCUAAAGCCACCUACACCUCUCGCCUCAACUUCUUCACUUAAUAAUAAAUUCUGGGUACUGUUUCUCUGGCAUUCACUCUCUUCGAAAUGAAGAAAUAAAGAGGUUCUCCAUGACACCCAAAAAAAAACAAAAAAAAAAAAAGCAACCGUUAUGGGGGGUGGUUAAAGAAAGAAAAGUAGCCGUUGGAGCGUUUAAAAAAGCAACCAACGCUCUCUCUUCUUUGUUUUUUUUCAAUAUCUUUUUUUAUAUGUUGCCUAAUUUAUGUUGUAGAGUGUUUGUUUUGUUUUUAUAAAUGUAUUGUUAGUUGUAGCCCUCUCCAAAAGGAGGAGAGAGAGCUUCAGUUAAUAUAAUGUAAUGUAAUCUGAUGUGGGUGUGAGCUCUAGUUAAAUAUUAUGUAAUCUAAUGUGUGUGUAAGUUUGUGGGCCAUGAAUUUGGUCCAAUGAAUGCAAUUGUUGUAAUUCAUAGAUCAACAGUGUGGUUGGGGAGGAAAUAGUUAAUGCCA